CACUUCGGUGGGGAUUAGUGGCGAACGGGUGAGUAACACGUGGGCAAUCUGCCCUGCACUCUGGGACAAGCCCUGGAAACGGGGUCUAAUACCGGAUAUGAGUCUCCAUCGCAUGGUGGGGGCUGUAAAGCUCCGGCGGUGCAGGAUGAGCCCGCGGCCUAUCAGCUUGUUGGUGAGGUAACGGCUCACCAAGGCGACGACGGGUAGCCGGCCUGAGAGGGCGACCGGCCACACUGGGACUGAGACACGGCCCAGACUCCUACGGGAGGCAGCAGUGGGGAAUAUUGCACAAUGGGCGAAAGCCUGAUGCAGCGACGCCGCGUGAGGGAUGACGGCCUUCGGGUUGUAAACCUCUUUCAGCAGGGAAGAAGCGAAAGUGACGGUACCUGCAGAAGAAGCGCCGGCUAACUACGUGCCAGCAGCCGCGGUAAUACGUAGGGCGCGAGCGUUGUCCGGAAUUAUUGGGCGUAAAGAGCUCGUAGGCGGCUUGUCGCGUCGGUUGUGAAAGCCCGGGGCUUAACCCCGGGUCUGCAGUCGAUACGGCAGGGCUAGAGUUCGGUAGGGGAGAUCGGAAUUCCUGGUGUAGCGGUGAAAUGCGCAGAUAUCAGGAGGAACACCGGUGGCGAAGGCGGAUCUCUGGGCCGAUACUGACGCUGAGGAGCGAAAGCGUGGGGAGCGAACAGGAUUAGAUACCCU
rnacentral:rRNA from 2 species